AUACGGAGGGUACGAGCGUUGUUCGGAAUUACUGGGCGUAAAGCGCGUGUAGGCGGCCGUAAAAGUCGGGUGUGAAAUCCCGGGGCUCAACCCCGGAACUGCACCCGAAACUAUACGGCUAGAGUCCCGGAGGGGGUGGCGGAAUUUCCGGUGUAGAGGUGAAAUUCGUAGAUAUCGGAAGGAACACCAGUGGCGAAGGCGGCCACCUGGACGGUGACUGACGCUGAGAUGCGAAAGCGUGGGGAGCAAACAGGAUUAGAAACCCCAGUAGUCC
rnacentral:rRNA from 1 species